GCACAGCUUCCCCUAUGGCUGCCAGAACAGCUCCUCCAGUGGCCGCCAUUCCUGCUCCUCCAGCGGCCGCCAGCACACCCACAUGUCUCCCCGGCCCCAGGUGCCGACGGCCCACCUGGAAAUUUCCCGGUAUCUUGGUGGGCCAGUCCGGCCCUGUUUAGAUUCAUCAGCUGAAUCCCACGUAUAUUGUAUUUCUAGGAUUGUAUGCAAAUCUGCAGGAUUGCACAUUUGCUGAUAUUACUCUGUUUACAUGCAAAAUGUCACAAGUAAACAGUGUGACACAUUUAAGGCAUUGUGAUCAUAUGAUUGCAGUGUCAUUAAAAGUAGGUCACUGGCAAAAUUAAGGGGUCUCCACUGAGGGUUUAAGGAGUUUAGGAUUGAGUUUGCAUUAAAGGAUUAGGGUUAGGGAUUACAAUGGGUUACAAUGCUUUAAUGGACGUAACGUUAGGGGGCUGAGAAUGAUAGGCGUUACAGUCUAAAGCAGAUUGAAGGCAGUUACUUGCAGCCCAAAGUCCCUGUUUGUACAAAAUAGCUUCAAAUCUCCAACAGCCCCAUAUUCCUCUAAAUUGUACUGUCUUUUUUGUACAGUUUUAAUAACACUGUAGCCAUAGGAUCCAGUGAACGAAGAACUGAAAAAAAAUUGUUUUGUAAAUGUACUGUAUUGUUUUAUUUUGUCCCUGAACUGCAAUCUACAUUAAUUGUUCGUUUUCUUUCAUGUGUUGUCUAAGAACACCCUUUUUACUGAUAACUUUAUAUUUUCUGUUAUUUUUUGCAUCCUACUUGGUAGUGAAGAUGUUAGCAAACAUGGCAUCUGAAUUGGUACAUAAUCUGAGCAAUAUGUUUCACUCAUGUUAUUGGGAAAAUGUGACGUUGUAUAGUCAUUUACAGCUCAUAUCCUACAACACUCCAUAUACUGUAUUGGACUCUUAUUUUCAAGUAUUCACUUGUACUUGUUAAGGUGCAGUUUUAUCACAUUGCACUGUUCUUUAUAUAUCAUAAAAAAACUGUGUAAAACUAUGUAGGUAGGACUGAUUGACAUUUGAAAUGUCUGCAUUACAAGUAGCAGGGUGGGGAGAUUGGCAGGCUGCGGGUUCUGAGAACAGUCCUGUAUUUUGUCAAAACACUCCAAAAUGGAUAGACAGCACUCAGGGUCCUGUCUCGCCAUCCCACCUUUGUUUCUGUUAUGGCCUCUGCACCCUCUUGUAUUCUGCCGUCCCAUACUGCCAUUGUGCAUCAUUCUGGCGUGAUUUUCGGCACAGAGGGCUCCAACCUGCCUCCUUCAUGAUGAUCGCAUAAUUUUUUUACAUCAGGCAGGUCCAAGUUUAUCCAGGAACACACAGCCAUUUGUAACAGUUCUGGGUUUAUUUAAGGACACACCAUGCACUCCUCUUUGCCCUGUCAUGGUCUAUGUUACCCGAGAGUGCGUUUGGAAUUGUGGUGUGUGCAUUCUGGUUUUAAUUCGGCUGUGCUUCUGACUACCUGGCCUCUGAAAUCUUUGACUUACGUUCUGUUUGCUUUCUCUUUAUUCUUGACCUGAGUCUGUCCUGGAUUUCUAUUUGCAUUUUAGACUAUUAUAUGUUAAGACUAGCCACUCACAAGGAUCAGUACUAUGUCUUCCUUUUUUAUAGGAUACUCUUUGCUCUAGGUUACACUAUUUAAAAUUACUCGAGGAAUAUUUUUGGUUUUUGGUAAAAAAAAGUCAUAUGUAAUAUUAAAGCAUUAUAUGAUGUGAAGAAAUAUAGUGAAAAUUGAGUUAGUUAACAUAAAAGGACACCUUUGGCACCAUAACCACUGUCAGCUCUUGACUAAUGAAUACUAUUUGUUAUUAGCAUUUUACAUAGCAGAGCGCUUUUACAAUUUUGCAGGGAUUAUUUAGAGGGUAUAUUUGGCGGCAAAAAGGGUCCUGCUCAAACAAGCUUACAUUCUCUGAAAGUUUGAGGUAGGCAGAUAUAUAUCAUUAGAUGUCUUGUCCAGGGACACUCACUAGUGAUGGGGUCUAACUGAGAUUCAAACUUAGGUUUUCCAGCUCUAAGUGGGCUUCAUAAGAUACCAUGGUCAAAAGUGGUGGGGGGCACUAACAAUUUUCACCACUGAAAAAGAAAACACGCACGCACGUACGUACGUACGUAUGUACGUACGUACUUUGGGGCCUUAUUCCAAAAGCGUUUCAACAGCAGCACACUUCAGUGUUUCAAAAACAAAAAUUUCGCUUCUUCUGGCGCUGUUUGGAUGAUCCUUUUAUGAAAGUUUGUUGCCAUUGCACCAGUAUAACCCAUUUGUAGGGGAUCGUUAUGUCCUCUAAUAGCGGUCAUUUUCUUGGGCACAUAAAUGCACAGCUUCCUGCAUCUCCGUGCAGAUGCUGGGGUGAUAUCAUAUCCCACCUCCUGGUAUCAGUACACAGUGCAUGAGGAAUGCAGUGAUCCCUCGGCACCUUCUCCAAAACAUAUUGGCAGAGCCGAUACUUGCCACAAGGAGGUAGUACUGAUACACAUUUGAAGCAUUCGUUAUGUUGAGUUAUUUCAAUUGCUUUUGUUUUAUUUGUUCACUGGAAACGGCUAAAAGUCUGUAAAGUUUAACAAUAACCCUGAUUUUUAAUGGGGUUUGAAUCAUUUAGAUUUCAACUGUACUGCCCAAUACAUACAGACACACACUGCCUAACACAUACACAAAACCUCUAAUGCACACACACAUAAAUACCGCCUAAUAAUAAUAACACAGUAUUUAACCAGGAAAGGCACAUUCAGAUUACUCUGGUUUUCAAGUAUGUCCUGGCGAUGUUACCUUAGCCCAACAUCCAGGGGUUGUUACUAAUACCCAAUUUAAUAAUACUCAUUUUAUCUACCUCAAAAGGAAGAAGGGGUGAGUCAACUCUGCUGGGAUUUGAACCUGUGACAGACUGCUUAAUGCAUAGACGCACAAUGAUAAAUACAUACACACACUUCUUAAUACAUACACACACACUCAUCCCUUACACACUCAGGUGGGGGCUGGGUGCACUAUAAUCAGCCUGUUUCGAUCAGUGUGGUAGCUCCUCUGUGUCUCAGGAGGUCGUGCUGGCAUGUUUCCUACUCCUAUAUGUCGCACAGAGCAGGGGCAGCAGCGCAUGGAUGCCGCAACCUUGACCUGCCCUGCCAUGUGCAGCACUGAGAUAGAAAGCACCUCUAGUGGCCGUCGAGUGACUGCCACUAGAGGUGUUUCUAAAGAACAAUGUAAAUACAGCCUGAUAUGUGAAAAUGUAGCAUUUACAGUGCUCAGCCUAUAGACUAUAGACACCAGCCUGGUGACUAAGGUGUCCCUUUAACACUAUAAACACUACAAAGUACUGUAGUACUCUACCGGUGAUCUACAAUGACCUAUAAUACUUAUGAUGCGUAGACUAUCCCUUUAAAAGAAAAUGCAUGCUGUUUCCUCUUUUACCCUACCACCACAGUCCUUACAUCACCAGUGCCCACACGGUUUAUGUUUAGCAGAACAUGAAGUGAAUUUUGUUUGUGGAUAACGAGUGCCAUAACUGGAAAAUUGCUUAACAAAUUACAUUUAAAAAGUGUUUUUGUUGCUUGAAUUUCUAAUAAAGCACAUUGUGGUCAACAA